AACGAACGCUGGCGGCAGGCCUAACACAUGCAAGUCGAGCGAGGACUUCGGUCCUAGCGGCGGACGGGUGAGUAACGCGUGGGAACGUGCCCUUGCUUCGGAAUAGCCCUGGGAAACUGGGAGUAAUACCGGAUGAGCCCUUUGGGGGAAAGAUUUAUCGGCGAAGGAUCGGCCCGCGUUGGAUUAGGUAGUUGGUGGGGUAAUGGCCUACCAAGCCGACGAUCCAUAGCUGGUUUGAGAGGAUGAUCAGCCACACUGGGACUGAGACACGGCCCAGACUCCUACGGGAGGCAGCAGUGGGGAAUCUUAGACAAUGGGGGAAACCCUGAUCUAGCCAUGCCGCGUGAGCGAUGAAGGCCUUAGGGUUGUAAAGCUCUUUCAGCUGGGAAGAUAAUGACGGUACCAGCAGAAGAAGCCCCGGCUAACUCCGUG
rnacentral:rRNA from 1 species